UUAUUUGAGAGUUUGAUCCUGGCUCAGGAUGAACGCUGGCGGCGUGCCUAACACAUGCAAGUUGAGCGAUUUACUUCGGUAAAGAGCGGCGGACGGGUGAGUAACGCGUGGGUAACCUACCCUGUACACACGGAUAACAUACCGAAAGGUAUGCUAAUACGGGAUAAUAU
rnacentral:rRNA from 1 species